rnacentral:rRNA from 1 species
GAUGAACGCUGGCGGCGUGCCUAAUACAUGCAAGUCGAACGGUCGACUUCGGUCGAUAGUGGCGAACGGGUGAGUAACGCGUUGGUGACCUGCCCCGAAGAGAGGGAUAACAGGCCGAAAGGCCUGCUAAUACCGCAUGAGCUAGCCAUGGAUUAGGAAGUGGUUAGGAAAAGGAGCAAUCCGCUUUGGGAGGGCCUGCGUCCCAUCAGCUAGUUGGUAAGGUAACGGCUUACCAAGGCGAUGACGGGUAGGGGGCCUGAGAGGGUGAACCCCCACAAUGGAACUGAGAUACGGGCCAGACUCCUACGGGUGCAG